GACGAACGCUGGCGGCGUGCUUAACACAUGCAAGUCGAACGCUGAAGACCUGGCUUUUGUUGGGUUGGAUGAGUGGCGAACGGGUGAGUAACACGUGAGUAACCUGCCCUCUUCUUUGGGAUAACGCCCGGAAACGGGUGCUAAUACUGGAUAUUCACUGGCCUUCGCAUGGGGGUUGGUGGAAAGGUUUGUUCUGGUGGGGGAUGGGCUCGCGGCCUAUCAGCUUGUUGGUGGGGUGAUGGCCUACCAAGGCUUUGACGGGUAGCCGGCCUGAGAGGGUGACCGGUCACAUUGGGACUGAGAUACGGCCCAGACUCCUACGGGAGGCAGCAGUGGGGAAGAUUGCACAAUGGGCGAAAGCCUGAUGCAGCGACGCCGCGUGAGGGAUGGAGGCCUGCGGGUUGUAAACCUCUUUCGCUCAUGGUCAAGCCGCAACUGUGGGUUGUGGUGAGGGUAGUGGGUAAAGAAGCGCCGGCUAACUACGUG
rnacentral:rRNA from 1 species